rfam:Streptomyces sp. MnatMP-M17 genome assembly, contig: Ga0115259_10188
UUGGUUAGAGCAGCUGACUCUUAAUCAGCGGGUCCGGGGUUCGAGUCCCUGGCGGCGCA